UACGUAGGGUGCGAGCGUUGUCCGGAAUUAUUGGGCGUAAAGAGCUUGUAGGCGGUCUGUCGCGUCUGCUGUGAAAUCCGGGGCUCAACCCCGGACUUGCAGUGGGUACGGGCAGACUAGAGGUGUGGUAGGGGAGACUGGAAUUCCUGGUGUAGCGGUGAAAUGCGCAGAUAUCAGGAGGAACACCGAUGGCGAAGGCAGGUCU
rnacentral:rRNA from 1 species